rnacentral:rRNA from 1 species
CCUACGGGGGGCAGCAGUGGGGAAUAUUGCGCAAUGGGCGAAAGCCUGACGCAGCGACGCCGCGUGAGGGAUGAAGGUCUUCGGAUCGUAAACCUCUGUCAGCAGGGAAGAACGGUCACUGUGCUAAUCAGCAGUGAAUUGACGGUACCGGCAAAGGAAGCACCGGCUAACUCCGUGCCCGCAGCCGCGGUAAUACGGGGGGUGCGAGAGUUAAUCGGAUUUACUGGGCGUGAAGCGCUCGUAGGCGGUAUGUCAAGUCAAGGGUGAAAUCCCCGCGCUCAACGUGGGAACUGCCUUUGAAACUGGGGAACUUGAGUGUGUGAGAGGAUAGUGGAAUUCGAGGUGUAGGAGUGAAAUCCGUAGAUAUCUGGAGGAACAUCGGUGGCGAAGGCGACGAUCUGGCACAUAACUGACGCUGAGGAGCGAAAGCGUGGGUAGCAAACAGGAUUAGAUACCCGUGUAGUC